UAUUACACUAGGAUCUUACCCUAAUCUCCUAAACACAGCCGCCAUCAAACCAAUUCUCAUUGUCUCCGCCAAAGAUGCAGGGAUCUCCACCAAUGUCUCUCACCGAAGGUCCACAGCUGCCGACUUCCCCCACCAAAGAUGCAGUGAUCUCUCUCGCCUCUCUUUCUCUCUCUCUCUCGCGCGCGCGCGCGAUCGCCAUCAGAAUGAAAUGGAAACCCUAAUUUCAAAUUACCGUGUAUUCGAGAUGCCUACAGCGAGGUAUGUCCCCGUUUACUGUGAUUACAAACUCCUAAACACCUCACGACCACACACACAAAAAUGUACAAAACCACCAUUGACAUCUUCAAAGGAACAUCAUCGCUUUCUUUUCCCAAGUCAUUUAAACUCUGUAAACAUCAUCGAUUUCUUUUCCCAAGUCAUUUAUCCUCUGUAAAUUGUCAAGCACACUGAAGAACUUGAAGGUAAUUAUAAGCCGAUUCUUGAUUUUUUCAGAUACUAUUCAGUCUUUAUAUGCAUAACUUUUUUCUCAAUCCCCGAUUUUUGAGUUUCCUGAUUGUGGGUAUACGUUGAUUGCGGUUGUUGGUAUUAAGGAUCUGCUUAGGCCAGGGGUUAAGGAAGCGGUGGAGAUUUGUUUAGCAGUUGGGAUUACUGUGCUAAAUCAGAUGUAGAAAAACGUGAACUCGCACCGAGAAUUCAGGAGAAUAGGUGGUUAGUUCUCCAAGACAAGUAAUGAAUUACAAUCCUUAAGUACAUUAAAGGUAGUGGCUAGAUCAUCACCAACAGACAAGUUAAAGAUUGUAAAGCAUUUGAGGGGUCUGUCUGAAGUUGUUGCAGUCACAGAUGAUGGGACAAAUGAUGCUCCAUCUUUACAUGAAUCAGAUAUCGGAUUCGCCAUGGGUAUAGCAGGAACAAAGGUUGGUUUGUGCCUCAUAUUCAUGUCAAUUUAGUAUAAAAAACUUAAGUUAAUGAAAAAACUUAAGUUAUUUGUGAGGAGUUCAUCAUGGUUUUCUGGUUGUGGAUAUGGUUCAUUGGUAUGGAACCGUGGGUUUGAUUAUGAUGAUAAAAUGAUAGGGUACAUCAAGAAUUACAGGCGUGUGUUUGAUCUUGAGGUAUACCUGAGGACCCUGCAAGAACAUGCACACUUGAAUAUAAGGAAGGAACAGUCUGUUGGGGCGCUGUGUAUUGUGUAAAAGGAGCUGAGGAGAAAUAAAGAUUGGCAAUGGCGUAUUUAGAGAACAGAGAAUGCGAAUAUGAUCAGAAGACCACUGUAGACUUUCUCAAGGAAGGAGAGAUUUGUGAGGCUACUUUAUCAGGAGUUAUUGUUGUCACAUCAACUCCAGACAAGGAAUCGAAUAAGUAUUACCUUGGGCCUGCACCAUUGGAGGAUAUGCAAAACAAAUUGCGACAGCUACUGGUCCAUGUGGAAACAAUAGAGACUAAAUCGGCGACGCCGAAUAGUAGUUAUUGAGCGUAUGUUAGUAAGUCAUUAAAAUCAAAUUCAGAUGGAUUCGGAAUUGGAGAAUCAAAUUGGUGCAACAUUUGAGGAAGAUCUCGAUAAGAUGCUUCCUAAGUGUGACAUUAUUGUCAUCAAUACCCCUUUAAUAGAAAAAACAAAGGUGAUACUUUACAUAGGUGGCAAACUGAACCUUUCAUAAUGAUAACUGGUAGUAGGAGAUGGGUACCUCCUGCUUUGCCAACAACCAAGAGUCCAGAAAAUGAGGAAACUGGAGCCACAUUUGCUGCUGGAAGAAGUAGGCGUGCUAAGACUGAACGAACACUAACUGAUGCAUAAAGAGAUGAAUUUGAAGAUAUGCUUCGUGCCCUAACAUUAGAAAGAAUUCAAAACAAAUAAGCAAUGGGUUUUGCAUUUGAUAAUGCUGACGCUGCUGGAGACGUAAAUAUGGAUAGUUGAAGUUUUGACCGAGUCUUUGACUCUUAAAGAAACACCAAUGCCCACAAUAGUAGUGCUCAUCUAAAGAAUGCAUCUACUCAAUGUAUCCUCUUAAUACAUGAUAUUGCAAUGUUUACACUGUUAUGAGGAGGAAGAUUUAUAUGAUGGAAUACUUUAGGGUUAAAGAUUUUAUUAAACUGAAUUUGUCUC